GCGGGCAGGGCGUGCGCGGCCGGCCGGGGAGGGAAGGCGGCGGCGGCGGCGCCCGGUGAAGGCUGACUGGAAACGACGCCCUGCCGGGAGCUGGGGCCGCGCGGGUGCGGAAGGCCUCCGCGCUCUGGAGGCGCGGGGCUGUGCCUCAGGGGCACGGCUAGAGGCUGGGUCACCGCCGCCAGCGGGUGGUCACGGCCCGCGGGGUGGGAAGGAGAUCCGCGUGUGGGGCUUAACCGAGCUCGUGUCUGGAGCGGCGACGCGUGGUUCUUCUGACUUACAGACACUGACGUGGUGUUUUCUGAAAUAACGGUGCCCGUUGGCGUGGGGAGCCGCGUGCCGUGCCCGUACCACUCACAUGCACGUGCUCGAAAACUGCUCUCUCCUUAGGCGGCUUUGUGAGUAGGCUCCACAGAGCUGGCUCUUUGUCACUGGAAUCAGAGGGGACCCACUGGGGAGCAUCCACCCUCGGCUAAUACAGGCAGCAGCAUGGCUCUGCCCUGCACGUGUACGACAUUGGACCUAGUGUCUGUCAAAAGUUGACAGAAAAGAGCAAAGAGCAAAUUCUAAUUUUACAAAAUUAUGGCAUUCUCUCCUAGGUUGUACUUGAUUAAAAUAAUCUCACUGUUAUUUAUACUAUGUGGUUAUGUGCUGCGCGCAGUUCCCUAACCUUUUUUUAAAACAGCUGUGUAUGCACGAUGUCAGGUACACAUUUUUCAGUGUUAGCUUAAAGGACAACUGCUGGGUAAAGAUUCAUGCAAGCUUCCCUUUUCAGAAACGAAAAAAUCUUAAGAAACGUCAUGAAGACAGUUGAUAAAGCAACAAAGUGGUGUUUUCUGAAUGGCUUUGUUCAAUGUCUUGUGGUGAGAAAUUUCUCUUUUGAGCAAGAGGAAAUCUUUUGGUGUUUUAACAAAAUAGGUUUUUCAGUAUGAACAUGAAUUGCUUGUUACUUGAACUGUUUGGGAAGCCAAUGGAGUUUGAGGUGCUCUUGUACGAGGUAUUGUACAAACAGUUCUGUUCCUCUCAUGCAAACUGUGGAGGUCUGCCCUUCCCAGAGUUGGAUUCGCCAUACAAAUUAAUCUCUUCUCCCACCUCUUCCUGAGUGGAAGGGUGGAAAUUCAGGUACUUCAAUGCCUUAAAUUCCAAGGCUGUGGUUUUAAAUUCUGAAAAGCUAAUAAAUAUAUAAAUGUAAUUUCCAGAGAAUAAUGUGAGUAAGCAUAACAAUACUUACUCACACAUUGCUGAAACGACUCAGUACAUAACAGUGAAACCCAGUUGUGUUCCUAGAAAGCAGAGUGUCAGUCUGCAGUCUAUUUUGUUUCAAAAUUUGCAGUAGAUUAUUAUUGUCAGCCUUACAAAAUUAAUUGUUGUUGUUUGGUAUUUCAGAGAUGAAAACUAGCCUUUUUUCUUCUACUCUCUUUUUAUUUUCACAUCACAAGCUAACAGUUAAAUCAUCAGAAUUCUACAUACAGCAACCAACAGAUAGUAAGGGAUUGCUUUUUCGUGAAGACAGUGUACAGUUUGGCAACAGCAUUUUGUUGCAAAUCUCUUUUUUUGCUCUUUUCCUCUGGGGGUUCAUGCACUUUCACAAGAGACUAAUGCCUUUACUGAACUAUUUUCAGGCUGCCACUAAAUUAACCAGCAACAUGACAGUACGUUCGGGCUACACCUUCUGCUAUGUUCUUUUAGAUUCCAGUUUAUAUAAGCUCCUGAGCCACUUGUGGAGAAAAGCAUUACUAAUGUUCAGAAGAAAAUGGGAUUCUUCUGCUAACAGUUUGGAAGCAGACAGGUCGCAUAUCUGCAGCCGUAAACAGUGGUGGAACUCUUAAUUGUUCUCUGCAGGUGCCAACAAGAUAUGGGAAAAUUCUUGGAGAAGUUUAAAUUUCAAGUUAGCAUCCCAGCUACACAGCAACUCUUCAAAGGCCAGACUACUCAAGGGAUUUUGACAAGAUAUCUCUUGUGAUUAGUUUUUCAUAAGUCUAUAGGAUUAUAAACAAAUGUAUUCCCCUUCAUCCUUCCGCAACCUUUACCUUUGGUGUGCAGAAAUAAUUAAUUACCCUAUGGUUUCUUUUGCAUUGGCACUGACAUUCUUGAUGACUAAAAAAAACAAGGUUGCUAUAGGAAAUAUAAAGAAGUAACAACAUCGUGAACUAGGUAAAAUAUUAACUAUUUUGAUGAGGAGUGCAAGCAAUUUAUGCUUUUGCAUACGCUUAACUAUGUGCUGCUGUUUUCUGUCUAUGAUGCCUAUAUGACUUCUGUUAAUACAGACUCCAAAAGCCUCUGAGACAGUGAUGAUGUUAAAACCAUACAUAUUUAUUUUAAAUUUAUAACAGAAUGCUGUAAUUAAAUGAACAAUUUAUACCACUUUGUUGCUCUGAAAUGCAUAAUUCAUUGCAGUAAUUUGAAUUAGACAUUUAAAAAACAUCUUGCUGCAUAAAAAUGCACUUGAGUGUAAAUGAUAAAUCAAUGUAUAGGUGAGUUCUCCUUUAUUUCUGUUAUAGUAAAAAAGCUCACCUAGUGUAUGUUGAAUUAAUAAAAGGUAACGUCAGAGACAACAGGCUGACCUCUGGCCCAUUUGGUGGGAAAAUAGUAGUACAAAAAGAGAUCUAAUUUAAACUUUAAACGGUGCUGCUUUUUUUUUUUCAUUCUGACAUGGUCAAUCCAUCCUGUUUACUCAUCUUCCAAACUUGCUAAUAUAACUGUCAGUGAGAUACGCCCACAACAUUGUAGAAUAGUUAGCAGUGGAGACUCAGACCUGAGUCUUUCAGUGCUUUUGCAGCAGUCCUAACCAGUAGUCUGUCACCUUCCUUCCCCUGUAAUAAAGGUUGUAUGUUCAGACAGCUUA